rnacentral:rRNA from 1 species
AGAGUUUGAUCAUGGCUCAGGACGAACGCUGGCGGCGUGCUUAACACAUGCAAGUCGAGCGAGCCCCUUUCUUCGGGAGGGUGUGCUAGCGGCGAGCGGGUGAGUAACACGUGGGCAACCUGCCCUCAGCUCUGGGAUAACUCCAAGAAAUUGGGGCUAAUACCGGAUAUGACUGCUGACCGCAUGGUCUGGUGGUGGAAAGAUUUAUCGGCUGGGGAUGGGCCCGCGGCCUAUCAGCUUGUUGGUGGGGUAGUGGCCUACCAAGGCGACGACGGGUAGCCGGCCUGAGAGGGUGACCGGCCACACUGGGACUGAGACACGGCCCAGACUCCUACGGGAGGCAGCAGUGGGGAAUAUUGCGCAAUGGGCGAAAGCCUGACGCAGCGACGCCGCGUGGGGGAUGACGGCCUUCGGGUUGUAAACCUCUUUCAGCAGGGACGAAGCGGAAGUGACGGUACCUGCAGAAGAAGCACCGGCCAACUACGUGCCAGCAGCCGCGGUAAUACGUAGGGUGCAAGCGUUGUCCGGAAUUAUUGGGCGUAAAGAGCUCGUAGGCGGUUUGUUGCGUCGGCUGUGAAAUCCCGAGGCUCAACCUCGGGUCUGCAGUCGAUACGAGCAAACUAGAGUGUUGCAGGGGAGACUGGAAUUCCUGGUGUAGCGGUGAAAUGCGCAGAUAUCAGGAGGAACACCGGUGGCGAAGGCGGGUCUCUGGGCAACAACUGACGCUGAGGAGCGAAAGCGUGGGGAGCGAACAGGAUUAGAUACCCUAGUAGUCC